GAAGUAACUUUUGGUAUUUUGUUAUGGCACGAUUUGUUCUUCUGUUUCCUAAACUUGAUCGCUCACUUGCUUUCUUUCACAUGGUAAAGAGGUCACUCUCUUCCAAUACACAAUCGCUGAGGUAUGUAUCAAUGUCUAAAGGUUAAAAAAGACCCAGGUUACACCAUAUGGUUUAGGUUGCUCACCUUGGUGGCUGACUAGGCGUUCAAAAAUCUUAGUGAGAGUAUAAAGGACAUUGUUGAUGGUGCAAUAAUGGAACACAACAAGUUGUGUGUGUGUGUGUGUGUGUGUGUGUGUGUGUGUGUGUCGCACGACCUGGGAGUCUACAUCUAAGAGUUCCUUUCAGUUUUCUAUCAGAAACAUUUCUUUAUAGAAGUUCUGUUGGACACUUAUCUUCUCUUUACUUAUCGUUUCGUGGGACUACGAAAAAGUUCAUCUGUGUGUAACUACAGGGUUCUCGAAGUCCGCCCUCUCAUUGACAGGGUGAAAGUUGUGGAAUUUUUGCUUUAACUGCCUGGAGUAAGAUGACAGGACAUACAAAGAUGCAUUCAAGUUGAAGCUUCAGAGUUACAAGGCAGGCACAGUUAAUAAGCAUAAGAAACUAUAGAAGAUUUAUCAAACAAGAUAUGGGCUUGAUUAUGCACUGAAUCAUUAUGGAGGAUCUCAGGAAGCAUUACAAUGGGAUAUAUUGUUCAGGAGUAGAGAUACUUUGAGCCCACUGUCACCAAGAUUCACCCCGUCUGCCCAAGUCCACCUUUCGCCACGAAGGGCCACUCCUCUACGGCAGCAGGGACGACCAGGACGCGGUGACGCCCAUGGACUGACACUUGUCACACUCCACAAACGAUCCUACCUACAGAGCGGUGGCGCGGGUGGGCACCGGCAAUGAAGAGGGCAUGCUGCGUAUCGACGCUCUGCUUUUGACUACAUGUUCAACCUCGGCUGACAGUGUCAUACACCGCGUCUUCAACCUCCGUCGUGACCCUUCCUCUCGGACGACAAGCUUGCCACCUUCUCGCUGCUAGACAAAAGUUCACCAGAAAAAAAUGAUCCCAUCACCGGGAUCAACACCGCAGGGUCAUUGACUUGGUUGAUCUCUUCGAUGUAACUGAAAUUGGUGGGUCCAUGUGGUUGGAGAGCACGUUUCUCCGGGAUCUUGAUGCUAUCGUGCUCAUUGUACACGCUCGCGUGACGGUGCUUGACUCCUUGGAGCAGGCCGGCAACCACCCCCUGUUGGACCAAAAACUUUGUACGAAGCUGGUGCACAUAGGUUCUGGGUUGGUAUAUUUCCUUAUGUAGCCUUUGUUCAGGUAAAUCAGACAGGCAUGGGGACUAUAGGAAGCCUCUCUUUUUACCCAUCUCUGCUAUUGUUAAUGAGUCUAACAAUGAACUGACUACAUUUACAUUUUUUCACCUUUGUUACCACAGAGCUACUCAAAGGUUCAAAAUAAUACGUCGGCACUUUAAGUCUCCCAUUUCGAAUGCCAUGAUUUGCAAUUUGUGAUUGGGGAUGCGGUAGUAAGCUCUUUCUUGUGCAGUUACGUUGUUGUGAGGUGCUAAGGUUCUCGAAAACAGCAUAGCCAUGUAUGUUGCUUCUAUUAGGUGAGGAUGACAAAUACUGCAUGUGCGCGCACGUGGGGGUUUGUGGAUUCAGGCACGCGAAACUCCCUUACAAUCCAGACAAAUCAUACGUUCAAACCAUCUCGAUGUUCUUCGCUAGCUUCGUCGCGUCGAUCCUGUAUAUUUACUAUUGGAUCCUGAAGCCCCAAGUCAUCAUCUGUUCCCGUGAUUAAUUAGCAAAUACAGAAAAACAUGGUUGUUUAUAUUAUAUGUAUAUUGUUGGGUAGGAGUUUUUCACACUAGAUGUGAACAUUAGGAAGGAUAUAUCU